AUUGAACGCUGGCGGCAUGCCUUACACAUGCAAGUCGAACGGUAACAGGUCUUUCGGGAUGCUGACGAGUGGCGAACGGGUGAGUAAUACAUCGGAACGUGCCUAGUAGUGGGGGAUAACUACUCGAAAGAGUGGCUAAUACCGCAUGAGAUCUAUGGAUGAAAGCAGGGGACCUUCGGGCCUUGUGCUACCAGAGGGGCCGAUGGCAGAUUAGGUAGUUGGUGGGAUAAAAGCUUACCAAGCCUACGAUCUGUAGCUGGUCUGAGAGGACGAUCAGCCACACUGGGACUGAGACACGGCCCAGACUCCUACGGGAGGCAGCAGUGGGGAAUUUUGGACAAUGGGCGCAAGCCUGAUCCAGCAAUGCCGCGUGCAGGAUGAAGGCCUUCGGGUUGUAAACUGCUUUUGUACGGAACGAAAAGUCUUGGGUUAAUACCCUGGGAUCAUGACGGUACCGUAAGAAUAAGCACCGGCUAACUACGUGCCAGCAGCCGCAGUAA
rnacentral:rRNA from 1 species